rnacentral:rRNA from 1 species
UACGGAGGUGGCAAGCGUUGCUCGGAAUCACUGGGCGUAAAGGGCGCGUAGGCGGCGCGGUAAGUCGGGUGUGAAAUCUCGGAGCUUAACUCCGAAACUGCAUUCGAUACUGCCGUGCUUGAGGACUGGAGAGGAGACUGGAAUUUACGGUGUAGCGGUGAAAUGCGUAGAUAUCGUAAGGAAGACCAGUGGCGAAGGCGGGUCUCUGGACAGUUCCUGACGCUGAGGCACGAAGGUCAGGGGAGCAAACGGG